rnacentral:rRNA from 14 species
AGACAGCUAGGAUGUUGGCUUGGAAGCAGCCAUUCAUUUAAAGAGUGCGUAACAGCUCACUGGUCGAGCGACAGAGCAUCGAUGAUGAUCGGGCAUUAAGUAUAUUACCGAAGCUAUGGAUUUAGUGCGUAAGCACUGAGUGGUAGGGGAGCAUUCUAUAGGCAGUGAAGGUGUGUCGUAAGGCAUGCUGGAGCGUAUAGAAAAGCAAAUGUAGGCAUAAGUAACGAUAAGGCGGGUGAGAAACCCGCCCACCGAUAGACUAAGGUUUCCUCAGCAAUGCUAAUCAGCUGAGGGUUAGUCAGGGCCUAAGGCGAACCCGAAAGGGGUAGUCGAUGGACAACAGGUUAAUAUUCCUGUACUACCAUAUAGAGUGAUGGGGUGACGGAGUAGUGAAAGUCCCGCGUACUGACGGAAUAGUACGUUAAAGAGUGUAGGUAUAGGCAUAGUAGGUAAAUCCGCUGAGCUUGCUGAACUUGAUAGUACCACAACGCUUCGGCAGCGUGGAUAGUGGACCUAAUCAGACUUCCAAGAAAAACCUCUAAACAUAUGUAUAUGGUACCUGUACCGCAAACCGACACAGGUAGUCAAGGAGAGAAUCCUAAGGUGCUCGAGUGAUUCAUGGCUAAGGAACUAGGCAAAAUGGUCUCGUAACUUCGGGAGAAGAGACGCCAACUUCGGUUGGCCGCAGUAAAUAGGCCCAGGCGACUGUUUAUCAAAAACACAUGGCUUUGCAAAAUCGAAAGAUGAAGUAUAAGGCCUGACACCUGCCCGGUGCUGGAAGGUUAAG